rfam:Hordeum vulgare subsp. vulgare, WGS project CAJW01000000 data, contig: morex_contig_1490912
AGAGAUGGCUGAGUGGUUGAUAGCUCCGGUCUUGAAAACCGGUAUAGUUCUAGGAACUAUCGAGGGUUCGAAUCCCUCUCUCUCCU